rnacentral:rRNA from 1 species
AUACGUAGAGGGCAAGCGUUGUCCGGAAUUACUGGGCGUAAAGGGUACGCAGGCGGAUAUAUAAGUCAAAUGUGAAAGGCACCGGCUCAACCGGUGAGCGGCAUUUGAAACUGUAUAUCUUGAGUUCAGGAGAGGAGAGCGGAAUUCCUGGUGUAGCGGUGGAAUGCGUAGAUAUCAGGAAGAACACCAGUGGCGAAGGCGGCUCUCUGGCCUGAAACUGACGCUCAGGUACGGAAGCUGGGGGAGCGAACGGGAUUAGAUACCCCGGUAGUCCCAGCCGUAAACGAUGGACACUAGGUGUUGGGGGUUCGAAUCCUUCAGUGCCGAAGCAAACGCAUUAAGUGUCCCGCCUGGGGAGUACGGUCGCAAGACUGAA